GACAGAGGCCUCAAGCGUUAGACGGAAUCACUGGGCUUAAAGCGUGUGUAGGCGGAUCGUUAAGUACCUUGUCGUAAAUCCCAACGGCUCACCCGUCGGGAACUGCUGGGGUAUACUGGCGGUCUUGGGCCAACUAGGGGGCAGCUGGAACAAGCGGUGGAGCGGUGAAAUGCGUAGAUAUCGCUUGGAACGCCGAAGGUGAAAACAGGCUGCUGGGGUUGUGCCGACGCUGAGACACGAAAGCCAGGGGAGCAAACGGG
rnacentral:rRNA from 1 species